CCGUCCCCGGGACGCUGACAUCCCUUCCACCGUACUUUCCAGAAGAACCGCCUCGGCGCCGACGGGUCCGGACCCCCCUUUCGUGCCACACGACCUUUGCCCCCGAGGACCUCACAGGGGACUCCCCCCACACUCCCUUCGGGAGAUCGCUACACGAACAGGUCCUUGGCUCCAUGGAGGCUGGAAACCCUGUUCUGGGAGCCUCAACUCUGGCUCUAACCCUCAGGACCCUGCCAGAGGCCUAAGACCAGAACUCAAACUCAAUACCCGAUGCUUUCAUUCAUUGCCUAGUACUCUACCAACUGAGCCACGGCCUCCAACACUCCCUGGACCACUCCAGGGAGAGGGACCAACAUACAAAACACACGGAGAUCCCGGGCUGCCACUCCGCAGGACUGCAAGAAUGAGAGAAGACAUCCACAGCCCUCCCUUUAGAAGAGCCCAGAAACACUGGACCACUGCGACCACCUACCUUCCCUGGGGGGGCGGGGGGGAAUCACACAGAAGCUUCUCCCUUGGGCAGAAGAAGUUGGUUAGAAGGCGAAGAACCUCAUCUGCCGCCGCGCAGGCUGGUGGUUAGGAAGGCUCUUUCUCUCCUGUCCCUCUGCCUCCAGACCCGAUGGUUCCCUCGGCAGCAGUGAUUCAAACAGGAGCAGUUCAAGGCCCCAAGGCCCUGCACUGGCUCUGCAAUGUGCUGCACAGAUCUCAUCCUCAUCUGCCUGCUGUUCCGCCUGCCCCUGGGGUCUCCCUGUCAGCCCCA